rnacentral:tRNA from 1 species
GGGGGUAUAGCUUAUCUGGUAGAGCGUCGCGUUUGCAUCGCGAUGGGAGCGGUUCGAGUCCGCUUACCUCCA